GGUUAAGCGACUAAGCGUACACGGUGGAUGCCCUGGCAGUCAGAGGCGAUGAAGGACGUGCUAAUCUGCGAUAAGCGUCGGUAAGGUGAUAUGAACCGUUAUAACCGGCGAUUUCCGAAUGGGGAAACCCAGUGUGAUUCGUCACACUAUCAUUAACUGAAUCCAUAGGUUAAUGAGGCGAACCGGGGGAACUGAAACAUCUAAGUACCCCGAGGAAAAGAAAUCAACCGAGAUUCCCCCAGUAGCGGCGAGCGAACGGGGAGCAGCCCAGAGCCUGAAUCAGUGUGUGUGUUAGUGGAAGCGUCUGGAAAGGCGUGCGAUACAGGGUGACAGCCCCGUACACAAAAAUGCACAUACUGUGAGCUCGAUGAGUAGGGCGGGACACGUGGUAUCCUGUCUGAAUAUGGGGGGACCAUCCUCCAAGGCUAAAUACUCCUGACUGACCGAUAGUGAACCAGUACCGUGAGGGAAAGGCGAAAAGAACCCCGGCGAGGGGAGUGAAAAAGAACCUGAAACCGUGUACGUACAAGCAGUGGGAGCACGCUUAGGCGUGUGACUGCGUACCUUUUGUAUAAUGGGUCAGCGACUUAUAUUCUGUAGCAAGGUUAACCGAAUAGGGGAGCCGAAGGGAAACCGAGUCUUAACUGGGCGUUAAGUUGCAGGGUAUAGACCCGAAACCCGGUGAUCUAGCCAUGGGCAGGUUGAAGGUUGGGUAACACUAACUGGAGGACCGAACCGACUAAUGUUGAAAAAUUAGCGGAUGACUUGUGGCUGGGGGUGAAAGGCCAAUCAAACCGGGAGAUAGCUGGUUCUCCCCGAAAGCUAUUUAGGUAGCGCCUCGUGAAUUCAUCUCCGGGGUAGAGCACUGUUUCGGCAAGGGGGUCAUCCCGACUUACCAACCCGAUGCAAACUGCGAAUACCGGAGAAUGUUAUCACGGGAGACACACGGCGGGUGCUAACGUCCGUCGUGAAGAGGGAAACAACCCAGACCGCCAGCUAAGGUCCCAAAGUCAUGGUUAAGUGGGAAACGAUGUGGGAAGGCCCAGACAGCCAGGAUGUUGGCUUAGAAGCAGCCAUCAUUUAAAGAAAGCGUAAUAGCUCACUGGUCGAGUCGGCCUGCGCGGAAGAUGUAACGGGGCUAAACCAUGCACCGAAGCUGCGGCAGCGACGCUUAUGCGUUGUUGGGUAGGGGAGCGUUCUGUAAGCCUGUGAAGGUGUGCUGUGAGGUAUGCUGGAGGUAUCAGAAGUGCGAAUGCUGACAUAAGUAACGAUAAAGCGGGUGAAAAGCCCGCUCGCCGGAAGACCAAGGGUUCCUGUCCAACGUUAAUCGGGGCAGGGUGAGUCGACCCCUAAGGCGAGGCCGAAAGGCGUAGUCGAUGGGAAACAGGUUAAUAUUCCUGUACUUGGUGUUACUGCGAAGGGGGGACGGAGAAGGCUAUGUUGGCCGGGCGACGGUUGUCCCGGUUUAAGCGUGUAGGCUGGUUUUCCAGGCAAAUCCGGAAAAUCAAGGCCGAGGCGUGAUGACGAGGCACUACGGUGCUGAAGCAACAAAUGCCCUGCUUCCAGGAAAAGCCUCUAAGCAUCAGGUAACAUCAAAUCGUACCCCAAACCGACACAGGUGGUCAGGUAGAGAAUACCAAGGCGCUUGAGAGAACUCGGGUGAAGGAACUAGGCAAAAUGGUGCCGUAACUUCGGGAGAAGGCACGCUGAUACGUAGGUGAAGCGACUUGCUCGUGGAGCUGAAAUCAGUCGAAGAUACCAGCUGGCUGCAACUGUUUAUUAAAAACACAGCACUGUGCAAACACGAAAGUGGACGUAUACGGUGUGACGCCUGCCCGGUGCCGGAAGGUUAAUUGAUGGGGUUAGCGCAAGCGAAGCUCUUGAUCGAAGCCCCGGUAAACGGCGGCCGUAACUAUAACGGUCCUAAGGUAGCGAAAUUCCUUGUCGGGUAAGUUCCGACCUGCACGAAUGGCGUAAUGAUGGCCAGGCUGUCUCCACCCGAGACUCAGUGAAAUUGAACUCGCUGUGAAGAUGCAGUGUACCCGCGGCAAGACGGAAAGACCCCGUGAACCUUUACUAUAGCUUGACACUGAACAUUGAGCCUUGAUGUGUAGGAUAGGUGGGAGGCUUUGAAGUGUGGACGCCAGUCUGCAUGGAGCCGACCUUGAAAUACCACCCUUUAAUGUUUGAUGUUCUAACGUGGACCCGUGAUCCGGGUUGCGGACAGUGUCUGGUGGGUAGUUUGACUGGGGCGGUCUCCUCCUAAAGAGUAACGGAGGAGCACGAAGGUUGGCUAAUCCUGGUCGGACAUCAGGAGGUUAGUGCAAUGGCAUAAGCCAGCUUGACUGCGAGCGUGACGGCGCGAGCAGGUGCGAAAGCAGGUCAUAGUGAUCCGGUGGUUCUGAAUGGAAGGGCCAUCGCUCAACGGAUAAAAGGUACUCCGGGGAUAACAGGCUGAUACCGCCCAAGAGUUCAUAUCGACGGCGGUGUUUGGCACCUCGAUGUCGGCUCAUCACAUCCUGGGGCUGAAGUAGGUCCCAAGGGUAUGGCUGUUCGCCAUUUAAAGUGGUACGCGAGCUGGGUUUAGAACGUCGUGAGACAGUUCGGUCCCUAUCUGCCGUGGGCGCUGGAGAACUGAGGGGGCUGCUCCUAGUACGAGAGGACCGGAGUGGACGCAUCACUGGUGUUCGGGUUGUCAUGCCAAUGGCACUGCCCGGUAGCUAAAUGCGGAAGAGAUAAGUGCUGAAAGCAUCUAAGCACGAAACUUGCCCCGAGAUGAGUUCUCCCUGACCCUUUAAGGGUCCUGAAGGAACGUUGAAGACGACGACGUUGAUAGGCCGGGUGUGUAAGCGCAGCGAUGCGUUGAGCUAACCGGUACUAAUGAACCGUGAGGCUUAACCUU
rnacentral:rRNA from 1 species